rnacentral:tRNA from 1 species
GCCCGGCUAGCUCAGUUGGUAGAGCAUUCGACUCUUACAGGGUUCCGCUUCCGUCCAACGAAUCGGUCAUAUCGAAUUGUCGUGGGUUCGAGCCCCACGUUGGGCG